AGGAAGAAAGAGAAGGAGGAGUAGAAUAAGGGUAAAGCGUAGAAUAAGGGUAAGGAGUGGAAUGAGGAUGAAAAUUUACGGAUUUGCGCAUUUUGGCUUCAUUUUUUAUUUUUCCUUUUCCUUUUCU
rnacentral:ribozyme from 12 species